GCCCUUUAGUGCUGCAGCAAACGCAUUAAGCACUCCGCCUGGGGAGUACGGUCGCAAGACUGAAACUCAAAGGAAUUGACGGGGGCCCGCACAAGCGGUGGAGCAUGUGGUUUAAUUCGAAGCAACGCGAAGAACCUUACCAGGUCUUGACAUCCUUCGCUACUUCUAGAGAUAGAAGGUUCCCCUUCGGGGGACGAAGUGACAGGUGGUGCACGGUUGUCGUCAGCUCGUGUCGUGAGAUGUUGGGUUAAGUCCCGCAACGAGCGCAACCCUUGAUCUUAGUUGCCAGCAUUCAGUUGGGCACUCUAAGGUGACUGCCGGUGACAAACCGGAGGAAGGUGGGGAUGACGUUAGGAUAG
rnacentral:misc_RNA from 1 species